rnacentral:misc_RNA from 1 species
CGCACAUUGCGCCCAUUAGUAUUCUAAUGGGCAUGCCUGUUCGAGCGUCAUUUCAACCCUUAAGCCCUGUUGCUUAGCAUUGGGAGUCUACCUUCGCGGUAGUUCCUCAAAAUUAGUGGCGGAGUCGCGGCGUACUCUGAGCGUAGUAAUUCUUUCUCGCUUCUGAAUAGUCGUGGCAACAGCCGUAAAACCCCCAUUUUUCUAGUGGUUGACCUCGGAUCAGGUAGGAAUACCCGCUGAACUUAA